GCCCCGUUCGACAGGAGUUUACGACCCGAAGAUCUUCGUCCUCCACGCGGCGUUGCGUCGUCAGGCUUGCGCCCGUUGCGAACAAUUCCCCACUGCUGCCUCCCGUAGGAGUCUGGGCCGUGUCUCAGUCCCAGUGUGUCCGUCCGCCCUCUCAGGCCGGAUACUGAUCGUCGCCUUGGUGAGCCAUUACCUC
rnacentral:rRNA from 1 species